GUUCAGAUUAAAGAUUGAGUCUUUUAGACGGAAGGAGUUGAGGAGAAGAGAGAUCUCUUGUAUGAAAUGAUGAUUGAAAAGAACAAAUGAGAAUCUGAUAAGUAAGAACAAAAUCACUAUAGACCCCAACAAGUCGUCUUUUGUUUCUCUCUCUGUAUAUAUGCGUUGUGUGAGAUUGUCUCUCUCUCUUCUAUCUAUCUAUCUAUCUAUCCCCUCUCUUUCGAAGUUUGGCCGAAAAGACUGCUGCAAGAGAGGGGCUUAUGAAGAAACUAACGCCUCUUUUUAGGGUAAAAAGUAGAGAGAGAGAGUGCGCGCGUGUGGGUGUGGGGUUAAGAGGCAGAGCAAUUAGAAGGAUUUGAGCGCCAAAGUCAUACAGAUUAAAGAACAGUGCAUG
rnacentral:misc_RNA from 1 species